UUCCGUCCCCCAGGACGAUGGUUUGCCUUACCUAUUGGUCGUUUGUUUGUUUUCCCUCCUUUACAUUUUGUUUGAGCCUCUGGCUGCAAAAGCCUAGGAAAAAUGGCUUGGAAUCUGCAAGAGCUGGCUGCAGUUUUCUUUGCAGUGAUUGGUCAAAGAAUGCAACAUCUUAGGACCGCCCUUUUUACCAGGGUCUAGUCUCCAUUUUAGAGUUUCAUUCUGGCUAUAGUCUUCCAACGUGCUGGAGCUGUGCAAGGCUAACUGGGACAAAUCAUCCUCAAAACCAGGCCAAUCUAAGCCUAUCCAAAUUAGAUAAGUAUUGAAUUAUAUUGAUCUGGAAUAGGAAAUCUAGUUAUAGGAGCAGGGUUAUUCUGUCGCUUCUAGAACUAAUCUUUGCUGUAAAGAUAGGGAAGGAAAGAGUUUCUCCUUCUAAUAUAGGCAGCGUGAUUAGGGUAUAGUGGUUUUAUAAUCACCUUUGCUUUCUGGAACCAGGGAUAAUUCUGUACCUAAAACCUAUAGAAAUUUGUUUCAUUUUCUGCAACUUUAAGAUCUGUGCCAGGUUUACAACCUUGUAUGAAUAAACAUCCUUUUUUGAAGUUAUCCAGACUCAGUCGUUCAAUAUCUAUAGGACAGCUUAUAGGGAUUUGCAGUUCGCCCGGAUAAAGGACAGCACGUUUCAGUUUUAUAGUUUUUUAUUGUCCGGCGGACGGCACAAAUUUGAUUAAUUUGGUUGAUCCCUUAACCACAAAUCUGAAACCUGAAAUACUCCAAAAUCUGAAAUUGUCCAGAUGGGUGAUUGGGAUAGUGACACCUUAGCUUUCUGAUGGCUCAAUGUACAUAAACUGUGUUCCAUGUACAAAAUUAUUUACAAUAUUGUGUAUACAGAUAUCUUCAGGAUAUCUGUAGAAGGUGUGUAUGAAACAUAAAUGAAUUUUGUGUUUAGAGUGGGGUUCCAUCUCCAAAAUACCUUGUUAUGUAUAUGCAAAUGAUGCAAAAUCAAAACCCAAAACACUUUGGCCCUAAAUAUUUUGGAUAGGGGAUACUUAACUUCUAUUAACAUUUCUGUUAUUUUAAUGUGGGCCUUUCACAAUACACUAUACUCGCACUCUGGCUUCCAUUCUAGAAAGUACUUUAUGUGUUCCUGCUUGGCAGGGGAUUGGACUAGAUGGUUCUUGUGGUUUCUUCCAACUCUAUAAUUCUAUGAUUCCAUCCUAAGGAAUCUUGGAACAUGCAAUAUAGGGGUGAGGGACAUCUAGAAUUCUCAACAAGAGAGUUCUAAUGGCUUAUCAAACAACAAGCACCAGAUUUCCAUUGACUGUUGCCAUGGCAAUUAAAGUGGAGGAAUAGUAUUAUAACUUUGCAAUGUGAAAGGGCUUUGCUGUUUAAACUCUAAAUCUGGUCAGCACAUAGAAAGCACUAGAGAAACCGGAAUAAAAUCAACAGUCGCACUGAACAUCUCAAUCUUCCAGAAAGAGAUCACAAGAUGUUGGAGGCAACCAGCCUUUUCAGCUUCCAAAGUCUGACAUUCUAUAAAAUCCAUGGCUACUUAAGAAGUAAGCACAUCAAUUAUUUUCUGUCCCAUUUCAUUUUCAUGUGGAUCAGAAAGAGAGUUUUUGCCCAGAAAAGUGUGACAUGGAACAAGACCACUUUGGCAGAAAUACAUAAUGCCACAAAAGGGUUUAUUUUUCCCUCCUUUGCAUUCUUGUUCACUUUUUCCUCAACUGCAGCUUUUGAAUUGUUCCUCAACCGAUCUUCUGCUCAGUUCUUUCACCUACCGACAGAACCAUGACACACAUUUCCUCUACUCCUAAUAGUUCUUCUCCCUGGGCCUUUCUGUCUCACUGAAUCUGCCAGAGGAAGCACCAUCCAUUCUGAUGAAUUCUAACAUUCCCAAAUUAUCGAACUCAUUAAACCAUGGGCUUAAAUUCAGCACUAAUCAGGAAAUAUAGUGAGUUGAACCACAUUUAGUAGAAAAAUAUAAUGACUUGACAGCACAACAACUUUAAUUGACUAGUUAUUUCCAAGCUCUUCUUAAAUUGGGUUACAGGACUGAUCCCAUAGCGAGUGAAUGAGCGAGCACAGCGUGAAGUGCUUCUGCAUUUAAGUUAGAUCUCAUAUAUGAAAACUGUGAGGAAAAUGAUGUGAAAGAAAUGAGACUUCGUUUUUGGCAGGUACUUCACAAGCUCAUACCUUGUUGUCUGCUUCCUACCACCUUGAGUGUCUCACUUCUAAGAGAAAUUUGUCCAGUGUUGUCUAUUUAGUAUUCCGAGAUUGAACUGCCUUUGAAAAACUUUAGGAACUCCCUUUAGGCCAUUUUUUACCUUUAGCCCAGAAGACCUAACGUUUCUGGCAGACAUUUGCUUUUAUCAUCUAGGACUCCUGUGGACUCAAGUAAUUAUGGCGACAGCGCAGGGCACAAAAACAAGCAGCCCUUUGGGUUUGGGUUUUUCCCCCCCCCCCUUCAGUCUUCUUUAUUCCCUUCCAUUUCACUUUCAGUCCAGCCAGCCUUUUCUUCUUCACAUGCCUGACACCUCUGGUGACAACAAGGAAGAAAAAAGGUGGGGGGAAAAACACUUUUGUAGGCGUCAGACAGACAGCUUGUGCAUGUUGAUCAAACACAGUCCAGAAAAAGAUUGCUUAAUGUAUGGCACAAGGGAAAAGGCCACUGUGGAAGCAGAAAUGAGAAAGAAGCCUGUGUUUUGCCAGUUAAAAGGGUAACAGGGGACUGACGACAGGAUAAAUAAGCGCCAACAUUACUUUAAUUAGAGGGAAAUCAAAACAAAUGCCUUCAUUUACUGAACUCUUCUUGGUAGCCUGGGAAACAUAGAGCAUAUUAAGAUGGGUCAUUGAGAAGUUCUAAUCUGUCACAAUGGGAUCCCAAGGGUUGUUCUUUUUUCAAGAAUAUGCAUAUAUUGCCUGUGAGAGAGAAUUCUCUGUUUCAAGUCUUUUCAAUAGGUUUAGAGGUUUUGGCAUAUGGCUCUUAAGAUGAUUAAAUGCCUAAUAUGCUUGUUAAUUAUUUCUUUUUCUUCUUAGACCUAGGCAAAGGAUCUACAAUUUAAAACAGGAUGUCUCUGCUCUAGUGUUCACACUCUCUCGUUCUCUCAGUAGAGCAGAGAAUGGUGAUGCAUUUGUUUGAUGCGUUCCCACUGCCUGCCAAGCGUUGGAGGAAUGUAUGAAGAGGAAAGCCUACUCUCUCUUCAAUUGACAAAAAACAGGGGAGGGCUGAAAAGACAUUGUGACCACAUUAGACAUUGAUAGUUUCAAAUAAUCUAGCAGGAUACACGAUCUCAUGAAACAAUAUAAUCAGUAUCAGCUGAGCAAACAAACUGAUUUUGGAGGUGAAAUAGGAGUGACUGAAUAUGCAUUCCUAGAUCCCUCCCUACUUAACAGUGCCUUCUUCAAUUAUCUUAUGAAAGGGUUAAUGCUAUAAUAUAGCGACGCAAACAUUAUGCCACGCUGGUAUGCUUAUAUGUUUAAGCAGACUAGGGAUGGGAUGGGAAUUCUCCAGCUUCCUUAGUAGGGUCAAAAUUGGAGUUCCUGGUCCUAUUUGGGAACUGGAGUGGAAAGAACAUUCUCAUAAAGUUCCUGAAACUUUUCCAAUACUUUUUUUUUCUUUCAGUUACAAAACUGCACAGAAACCAAAGUGUCAGCUGCCAAACACCCACAACUUUCUACUCCCACCGCUGUGCUGUUUGACAGGUGAAAUAGGUGUCUUUCGAAGCCUCUAGUCAGGAUUUCAGUGAAAGAUGGCAGGGAGCAUCUAGUUUCUGGUUUUUCUGCAGAGUCUCCCCACCAUGCCAGCAGUAGUCCUUCACAAAAAUCCUGGCUAGAUGCUGUGAAAAGAUUUUUCGGUUACCUCCUCCCCUUCACCAGCUGCUUUGAUAGCGGAAACCUCUUUUUCACAGCCUCUCGUCAGACUUCAGCCUUGGAGGGGGGUCAUUGCAAGGGGAGAGAAACACUAGAUUGUCAGCUAUCACACAUCCAGAACUUCCCCCUCACUGCAACCUUCCUUGGUAAUUCUCUCCAUGAUCACUCCAAGAGCUGUCAACUUUCCAACAACAUCCUUCCUCCCCACCAGCCCACAGCUCCUCUGGCAACUGUAACAUCUUUUCACAGUUGAUGCACAGGUUGGGGCAGUGGAAAGGAAGAAGGGAGGGCGAGCUGCAGAAAACAGUCCAGUAUCAUUUGGAAAAUGUAAAAACUCUUCAAUGAAACUUGUGUAGCUUUAUGUCAUCUCAGGAAAAGAAAAUCCAGCAUCUCUUUGAUAAUGUGGGAAGAAAACAUUGAUUUUUUUUCUGACUCCCAUUGGAAUGGAGGAAAUUGAGAACUAUUAUCCCUACAAUAGACUCCGUGCUCCAGAUCUUCCCAUUUUAACUUACGGGAGUAGAUAUCUGACAGAGAGGACAUGAAGGAGGGGUACACCUCCACUUCCCUACACAACUUGGAGAAUGCAUGACCACAGUUCAUCUAGAAAAGCAAUGCCAAAUUCUUGCUUCAUCGUUUGGAAGAAUAUGAAAAAAAGAAGAAAGUCCUUCCAUGAAUCUUCUAGAGAGAACAUUCUAAAUAGAGACUAUGUUUUCAUGGUGGCAACUUUAACUCCUCUUUUUCCAAGAUGUAGCAGAAGAAAAGUAACCAACCAAAAUUGUAUCCUACUGACCUGUCAAUGAGAUAUUGGCAAUGGAAUGUUGUGGGUUUAAAUUUCCUUUACAACCUCAGGCUAAACCAGGAGUGGGAAUUGGGAUGAUCUCACGGUUUUCUUGAACUAUAAUUCCUAGCAAAUCCUACCUAGCAUAGUCAAUGUCAAGAAAUGCUGAGAGCUGCAGUUUAACAUGUGAUUCCCACCAGUGAUCUAAAGAAAAGGUUUAAAGGAAAAGUAGCAACUCACACACCAAUAAAACUAUUUGCAAUUUGGGGUAACUGUAUCCCCUGUGGUGCAGCGGAUUAAACCGCUGAGCUGCUGAACUUGCUGACUGAAAGGUUGGCAGUUCGAAUCCGGGGUGCGGAGUGAAGUCCCGCUUUUAGCCCCAGCUUCUGGUCCCCAUGUAAGCCGCCCCAAGUGGUGGGCUACAAGAAUAAAGUUAUUAUUAUUAUUAUUA